CUGAAACGCGUGGCGAUGCCACCACAGGAGGAAGCGUUGUCAUGUGCCUCAAGGACUGAAGAAAGGCCUUUUAUUGAUUUUCGAUCGAUGGGUUCACAUCUGGAGGAAACAGAAAAGACGAAAUUUUGUUAAACAGGAUGUUUGCAGUGUAAUGUAGAAUUAGACGUUAUGUCAAGAAUGCAGAUAUACUGUAGGAAGUUUUGAACCUUUGAAAAAACAUUAACAAUAAGUGACACAAAACAUACCAGCAAACUUCAGUGUUGCCGUAGACAUUCUCUAUCUUCCUCUAUGUUAAUUUUGCAGUCUUUUAAAUGCAAUAGUUUUUUAACUGUAAGACUAAUUUCAUAUAGGUAUUUUUUCAGGUUAUUGGCACAAAUCCCAUGCAUAACAAUAUUAGCCAAAUAUGACUGCAGGAUGUUAGAUCAAUUACAGAGUAAUUCUUAAUAAACAAAAUCUUAUUCCCUCUAGAAUGUGUGGAGCUUACUUGAGAAGUUAUUUGAACAAUGACAUGCGUUUGCCUUAUAAUAAUUCAUGAUGGCCCUCUGCACUUUUUCUAUUUAAUAAAUACUUUUCCUGGAGAGUUUUUUUUAAUAUUUUUGAAGGACAGUUUAUUCGAACUAUAAAGUCAAUGAGCUCAGUUUUGGUCUUUGCAAGGAGUAUGCAGAGCAGUACUGUAUCUGCUCCUUCUAGCAAAUCUUCCUAAGUAAUGGUUGUAAGUGUGAGGGCUGGUCAAGGUGAUGGUUGCACUUAACUGUUGCAUAGUAUUGCAUAAUAUUUGUCACAGGAUUUGAAAGCCUAAGAGAAAGGAAAUAACACUUCCAUAGCUCAGACUGAUGGUUCUUUCUCUUUCCCGUGGCACCCUUGUGGUCCAAAGUUAGUCCUUGCAUGACGCACCGCUUCCCCAGGAGGUACUGAGUGAGCAGAAUUCAGGGGUACAGCUGUUCUCACGAAGCAGAGAGAUGCAGGUAAUUCUGUAAGGGCUACUACAGCUGCUUGGCAAAAUCCAGAUUUGUAGCUUCUUUCGGAAUCCUAGAACCUCCAAAAUGUCUCCAACAAAGAGUUUACAUUCCCCAAGACUGUGCAAAUGUGAAAUUGAAAUGCAGUAAUUUCUUGCUGCACAGUGGCCUCAUUUAGUUCAUAUUUACAAUUGUCGUGCACUCCUUUUUGAAUCCUUGAUGCAAAUCCUGCUUAAGUCAAUGGAAGUAAAAUUAGGUCUUAGGAAAUUAUUUCCACAGUUUUGAAGUGGUUCUUUAUUUGCUUUUAAAAAAAAAAAAAAAAAAAAAGUUUGAUAGUUCCAUUAUCACAUGCCUGAUUUUAUACCUUCUGGGUUGAAAAGCGGUCCUUAGAUAGGUGGUGAUUUUCUUUUCCUUGCUUAAUGUGAAAAAUCUGUAAGCGCCUUCUGUAGGUGGAAUCAGUCGUAUCUUAAUACCAAUCUUGCUGAUCAAGGAUGGCCCAGUUUAUGCUCCUAUAGGGUAAUAAAUCUGUGGCAUAGUCUAAAAACACACCUGACACUUUCCAUAUAACAAUCAGAAUAAAAACUGUGGUUAGGCUUUGGUGAUUGUCAUGCACAAGCUGUGCACAUAUUUCUGCAUCAACAGAAUAUCCAUAUUUGCUACAACUUUCGCAGACAUAAUUUAAAGGCAACAAGAUGUAAAUAUAUCUUAUUUAAUCAGUUGAGAUGACAAUGAGUUUUAUUUUAUGUGUUAGUGCCAUGUUUGUUGUUCCAGAUCUAUACAGUUAUCAGUAUGUUGCCUGUAGUUGGAUAGAAAUUUUGAAUGAUGGCAGCUAACUACUUUUGCAAGCACUGUAAUUUAUAUGUUUUAAGAGAUGCCCCAAUGGUGCAUAGCAUCAUCUCCGCCCUUUCUUAAAAGUGAGUCUUUUAAGUUAUUUGCAAGAAGACGGUAUCAUCACCUUAAGAAAGUGCUGUGGGCCGUGGGUCUGCAGUGGAUGAGAGCACACUUCCUGGCAGAUCUGAACAUAGCACUUCAGCAGACAGGGGUUUAGGACAUAAACAGGCAUAUCCAGAGAAGCUCUUAUUCCACUUAUUCUGUUUGUACUGAACUCCUUAGCUUUAAGUGCCUUUUGAUUUUGUGUUCUGGCUUUUACUGAACUCUGGCUUCUGCUCUAGCUUUUGGCUUUAUAAAAGCUGCUUGUUAUGGUUUGUAACUAUAAGGCUAUCAAGUCAUUGACAAGCUGUAUCUAACUGUCUAAUGUUCCUGUUCUUCACUGCGUUUUCAGCUCCCCUUAACCUCCUGGAGCUUGGUUAUUUAGCUGAGACAGGCAUGCAUUUUGCAUUUGAGUUGAUAGUCAUUUGUACUUCCAAUUGAUCUACUACUCACAGAUGUUCAGUUGGACAAUAUACCCAAAGAAUGAAAUGCUUUACAUCUGACAGUGAUCAAGUCAGUAAUGGAAGUUAUACAUUUUUCUCAUACCAUAUUAGUCCUUUCAGGUUUUGAAUGCUCAAGUAGUGUUGAUAAUUUAAAUUAACAUCUAGAGUUUGAAGAGAUUAAUUUCAGUGCCUUUGUAUGAAGUGUGAAGAAGUCAUCAGUAACAAAAUGUCUUGAAGGACUGGCAAAAUAAUCCUAUCCCAGCUUUAACAGCUCUGCUUUAGCACAGUUAGCACUCAUGUCACAAACCAGCGACAGUGGCAGGUGUCACUCAUGCAUCCACCUCAAGGGGUGGCAAUUGCUGUGCUCUGUGUGAGGGAUGGUUGUUUUAUAUCAUCAAUAGGAAUUGUUUCUCUUUCCAAAGUUUUUGCUUUUGGUGAAUUUCCUUAAAAAUGUAUAAAAUUUAGAGAAUGUACAUGGAAAAAGAGCAGACAUACUU